rnacentral:hammerhead_ribozyme from 1 species
AUCCCGCCGACUAGUCCCAAAUAGGAAGAAACGCGCGUCCUGGAU